rnacentral:rRNA from 1 species
AGUGGGGAAUUUUGGACAAUGGGCGCAAGCCUGAUCCAGCAAUGCCGCGUGAGUGAAGAAGGCCUUCGGGUUGUAAAGCUCUUUUGUCAGGGAAGAAACGGUGGGGGCUAAUAUCCUCCACUAAUGACGGUACCUGAAGAAUAAGCACCGGCUAACUACGUGCCAGCAGCCGCGGUAAUACGUAGGGUGCAAGCGUUAAUCGGAAUUACUGGGCGUAAAGCGUGCGCAGGCGGUUUUGUAAGUUUGUCGUGAAAUCCCCGGGCUCAACCUGGGAAUUGCGAUGGAGACUGCAAGGCUAGAAUCUGGCAGAGGGGGGUAGAAUUCCACGUGUAGCAGUGAAAUGCGUAGAGAUGUGGAGGAACACCGAUGGCGAAGGCAGCCCCCUGGGUCAAGAUUGACGCUCAUGCACGAAAGCGUGGGGAGCAAA